AGCCACUCACUCACUCCCCCACCAGCAGGAUGGGGGAGAGAAUCAGAGAGGUAAAAGUGAAAAAACUCAUGGGUUUAGAUAAAGACACUUAAUUAAGGAAAGUAAAAGUCGCACGCACGAGCAAAGCAAAUGAAGGAGUUCACCACUUCCCAUGGGCAGGCAGGUGUUCAGCCAUCCCCAGGAAAGCAGGGCUACAUCAUCCACAACAGGGACUUGGAAAGACAAAAUCCAUCACUACAAACAUCCCUUAGCAAGAGUGCACAGUUGAAGUUUAUAUUUAUGGAAUAAAUAAAGGAAACAUGUUAUGUGUGCUUCCAGUAUCGAGAGAUUGAAGAUUAAUGCCUCCAAAAAGAUGAAAUCAGGAGGAUAAAAGCAUGAUGCUUUCAAAGAUAAUUCUACUGGUGGCAAUCAUGAUCGCUGGAUGAAAACAAAUAACUCAUUUUCAUUAUCAUGUGUCCUGAAAGGAAGCAAUAUUCACUGUGAAAGAAAAUAAUGAAAGAGGGGAAAUUAAAGGCUUUGAAAAAUUAACAUUGAUUUCAGAGUGCACCUGGACUUGUAUUUCCACUGUUUUGUCUUUGAACAUCAGCUCAUAUUCGGGGAUGUUUUGAUAGCAGACAAUACAGAAUUUAAUGCAAAAUAGACCAGACAACCCAAUCAAGGGCUUUUCUUAUGAGAACAAAAGUUUUUUAUACCUAAGUGUCCUUUUCACUUCUAGUUUUAAUCUCUUGUAAUAUGUAAAUUCAUAUGAUGGGUGGCAUUCGGGCUUUGGGAACUACUCAUUUUCCCAGGCAGUAGAAAAAAAAGCCACAAUUAAAAGCUGAAAUGAAAACCUUCCCUACUCCCAUUGCCAGUGUCCAAAGAUAAAGUAAGACAUAUCAAUUUUUUAGCCUCACAUAGCAACUGAAAAUAAUGUAUAUCAGAAAGAAAACUAAUUAAAUAGCAAAAGAGGUA